rnacentral:rRNA from 1 species
GCCCUAGCUUGCUAGGUGUCCUUAGUGGCGCACGGGUGAGUAACACGUGGGAACAUACCUUAUAGUACGGAAUAACUGCGGGAAACUGUAGCUAAUACCGUAUAUUCCAGUAAUGGGAAAGAUUUAUCGCUAUAAGAUUGGCCCGCGCAAGAUUAGCUUGUUGGUGAGGUAAAAGCUCACCAAGGCUUCGAUCUUUAGCUGGUUUGAGAGGAUGAUCAGCCACACUGGGACUGAGACACGGCCCAGACUCCUACGGGAGGCAGCAGUAGGGAAUAUUGGACAAUGGGGGCAACCCUGAUCCAGCAAUGCAGCGUGAGUGACGAAGGCCUUAGGGUUGUAAAACUCUUUCAUCGGUGAGGAUAAUGACAGUAGCCGAAGAAGAAGGACCGGCUAAUUCCGUGCCAGCAGCCGCGGUAAUACGGAAGGUCCUAGCGUUGUUCGGAAUUACUGGGCGUAAAGCGCAUGUAGGCGGAACAGAAAGUUAGAAGUGAAAUCCCUGGGCUCAACCUAGGAAUUGCUUUUAAAACUUCUGUUCUGGAAUUCAGGAGAGGAAAAUGGAAUUUCCAGUGUAGAGGUGAAAUUCGUAGAUAUUGGAAGGAACACCAGUGGCGAAGGCGAUUUUCUGGACUGAUAUUGACGCUGAGAUGCGAAGGCAUGGGUAGCAAACGGGAUUAGAUACCCCGGUAGUCCAUGCAGUAAACGAUGGGUGCUAGUCGUCGGACUUUUGUUCGGUGUCGUAGCUAACGCGUUAAGCACCCCGCCUGGGGAGUACGGU